CCUACGGGAGGCAGCAGUGGGGAAUAUUGCACAAUGGGGGGAACCUCGAUGCAGCAACGCCGCGUGGGUAAAGAAGUACUCCGGUAUGUAAAGCCCUGUCAGCAGGGAAGAAAAUGACGGUACCUGACCAAGAAGCCCCGGCUAACUACGUGCCAGCAGCCGCGGUAAUACGUAGGGGGCAAGCGUUAUCCGGAGUUACUGGGUGUAAAGGGAGCGUAGACGGCAAGGCAAGUCUGGAGUGAAAGCCCGGGGCUGAACCACGGGACUGCUUUGGAAACUGUGUUGCUGGAGUGCAGGAGGGGUAAGCGGAAUUCCUAGUGUAGCGGUGAAAUGCGUAGAUAUUAGGAGGAACACCGGUGGCGAAGGCGGCUUACUGGACUGUAACUGACGUUGAGGCUCGAAGGCGUGGGGAGCAAACAGGAUUAGAUACCCUUGUAGUC
rnacentral:rRNA from 1 species